UUGAUUUGUCUGAACUCAAACUUGCUAAACUUUGACUAUGAUUAUAAAAAAAAUAUAAUAACCACCAUGCUACCAGACAUAUGCACUAUCAAUAUAUAUUCUAUGGUAGAUUCAAUGAAACAAAUUUGGUAUUAUAAAUGUUGUUAUAUUUUUCUAUGAACAUGGUCAAAGUUUAGCAAGUUUGACUUCAGACAAACCAAA
rnacentral:pre_miRNA from 1 species